GAAUUUUGGACAAUGGGGGCAACCCUGAUCCAGCCAUCCCGCGUGUGCGAUGAAGGCCUUCGGGUUGUAAAGCACUUUUGGCAGGGAAGAAAAGGCUCUGGCAAAUCCCUGGCGCUGCUGACGGUACCGUCCGAAGAACCACCGGCUACCUACGUGCCAGCAGCCGAGGUAAUACGUAUGGUGCAAGCGUUAAUCGGAAUUACUGGGCGUAAAGCGUGCGCAGGCGGUUCGGCAAGAAGGAUGUGAAAUCCCAGGGCUUAACCUUGGAACUGCAUUCUUAACUGCCGGGCUAGAGUAUGUCAGAGGGGGGUAGAAUUCCGCGCGUAGCAGUGAAAUGCGUAGAGAUGCGGAGGAAUACCGAUGGCGAAGACAGCCCCCUGGGAUAAUACUGACGCUCAUGCACGAAAGCGUGGGGAGCAAAC
rnacentral:rRNA from 1 species